ACGACGCUGGCGGCGUGCUUAACACAUGCAAGUCGAACGGACGGACACUGAUGAAAUUUUCGGAUGGAAUCAGUGCGAGUUAGUGGCGGACGGGUGAGUAACGCGUGGGUAACCUAGCCUUUUCAUGGGGACAACAGUUGGAAACGACUGCUAAUACCGAAUAAGCUCCUUAGAUUGCAUAAUUUAAGGAGGAAAGAUGGCCUCUGCAAAUGCUAUCGGGAAAGGAUGGACCCGCGUCUGAUUAGGUAGUUGGUGGGGUAAUGGCCUACCAAGCCGACGAUCAGUAGCCGGCCUGAGAGGGUGGCCGGCCACAUUGGGACUGAGACACGGCCCAAACUCCUACGGGAGGCAGCAGUGGGGAAUCUUCCGCAAUGGGCGCAAGCCUGACGGAGCAACGCCGCGUGAGUGAAGAAGGCCUUCGGGUCGUAAAGCUCUGUCUUUGGGGAAGAACAACCGGGGUGUGAACAAUGCUCUGGUCUGACGGUACCUGAGGAGGAAGCUCCGGCUAACUACGUG
rnacentral:rRNA from 1 species